rnacentral:rRNA from 1 species
UACGGAGGGUGCUAGCGUUGUUCGGAAUUACUGGGCGUAAAGGGCGCGUAGGCGGCCGUUUGCGUCGGAUGUGAAAGCCCGGGGCUCAACCUCGGAACGGCAUUCGAUACGGGACGGCUGGAGACCGGGAGAGGAGAGUGGAAUAGCCAGUGUAGAGGUGAAAUUCGUAGAUAUUGGCUGGAACACCGGUGGCGAAAGCGGCUCUCUGGCCCGGUUCUGACGCUGAUGCGCGAAAGCGUGGGGAGCAAACGGG